rnacentral:rRNA from 1 species
UACGCGAAGAACCUUACCAAGGGCUUGACAUGCACCUGCAACCACUUGAAAGAGUGGCCUCCGCAAGGACAGGUGCACAGAUGCUGCAUGGCUGUCGUCAGCUCGUGUCGUGAGAUGUUGGGUUAAGUCCCGCAACGAGCGCAACCCUUGUCCUUAGUUGCAAAUCUAGGGAGACCGCCGGAAACAAACCGGGGGAAGGUGGGGAUGACGUCAAGUCAGCAUGGCUCUUACGUCUUGGGCUACACACACGCUACAAUGGUCGGUACAGUGAGACGCCACCCUGUGAGGGGGAGCAGACCUCCAAAGCCGGCCCCAGUUCAGAUUGCACUCUGCAACCCGAGUGCAUGAAGUCGGAGUUGCUAGUAACCGCGUGUCAGCAUAGCGCGGUGAAUAUGUUCCCGGGUCUUGUACACACCG